rnacentral:tRNA from 1 species
GUUUUUGUGGUGUAAUAAACACAUUAAGUUUUCAAUUUAAAAAUAUAGAUUUAUCUGUCAAAAACA